rnacentral:rRNA from 1 species
GCGGUGGAGCAUGUGGUUUAAUUCGACGCAACGCGAAGAACCUUACCAGGCUUGACAUCCCUGACGCGUAUGAAAGUACGUUUUCACCCUCGGGUGACAGGGAGACAGGUGGUGCAUGGUUGUCGUCAGCUCGUGUCGUGAGAUGUUGGGUUAAGUCCCGCAACGAGCGCAACCCCUACGUUUAGUUGCUAACGCGUGAAGGCGAGCACUCUAGACGAACUGCCGUUGACAAAACGGAGGAAGGUGGGGAUGACGUCAAAUCAUCAUGCCCCUUAUGUUCUGGGCUACACACGUGCUACAAUGGCCGGUACAGACGGACGCAAAGCCGCGAGGUGGAGCAAAUCCUAAAAAGCCGGUCUCAGUUCGGAUUGCAGGCUGCAAUUCGCCUGCAUGAAGUCGGAAUCGCUAGUAAUCGCAGGUCAGCAUACUGCGGUGAAUACGUUCCCGGGCCUU